AAGGUAUAAAUAUAAAGCAAAAUCUCACUAUUCUUACCAUGACAACUCCUCUCAAGUUCAAAAUGCACCUCACUCUUGGUGCAUCACUAUAGCUUUGCUUUUUGUGCCUUCAAGUUUCAAAUCACAAAGUUAAGUCAAAACUCAAAAUAGUUGAAAAGAAACAUCUUUGAAAUAGGUAAAGGUUAGUGUAUGAUUUGGAUCCAACAAGUUUGGCUCUAGUACCAAAUGCAGAAUAAAUAAAAACUCCAAAACCAUAAUAAUGUAUACUGCAAUCAACUGAGAUAAAUAAAUCUAAUUAAACUCCCUCAACUAUGAUGAAUCAAUCUGAUACACAUGCAGCAACUGAGGAUAGUUUGGGCCAAGAGGAAAAGAGUCCAAUAUAACCAUCAUAAUCAGAAAAUCAAGGUUGUUGUUGAGCAUCAAUAUAACCAGGCAUCAACAAGAACUUUCUCCUUCUUAGCCAUUUCAACAUCAUUAUCACCCAUCAUUCUACAAGCUCUUCAAAACUAACAUUAGGUUUCCAAACAAUAAUUCGAGGACCAACCUUUCAGAUUAUCAACUUCAGUUGGACGAAAAUACCUCUUAUCAAUAACAACAUGAUCCUUCCAAUUCAAUCCAACAUAACCAUAAGCCAAGUCAAGACUUAUGAAAGAAAAAUCCACCAAAGAUUCCUAUACAUAAAUAGUAUUUUCAUUUUGUGACCCUAUGAUUUCUAUUUCAACAGGGGAAAAAUUCAAUCAAUCCCUCAGAUGAUGAUAAUGUAUAGUUUAGGACAUUUAUUUGAUAUAACUAGCUCUUAAGUUUAGAAUUAAGGUUCAAAAAGGGUAUGUGAUACAAUCCGAAAAUUAAUUCUAAACUUAAUUAAGUUUUCCCUACUUAAUUCAAAAAAUUCUUCAUCAUCAUCAAAUAUUCACACAGAAAAUAUUACAUUUGAUACAAUCCAAAUUGACAAGGAAUUUAAAGAUGAUGAGUAAGAAAGAGGGAGUGAUGCUGCUCACCAGAAAUACAGAGAUAGACACAACACAACCAUUCAGGUCUGUCAAAGAGGCUGUUACACGAGCUCUAUGCAACUGCAACCAAACUCAAGCACCAGGUUCUAUAUAUCAAUCUAUUUAUUACAUGUUUAACAAUUAACAAGAAAACUAUAAGUCUAUAACAUGCAGAUUUUAGGGUUAUAGUCGAUUUUUGGAAUUUUGGCCGAUUUUAGGUUUUUUUGCCGAUUUUUCG
rnacentral:lncRNA from 1 species